rnacentral:sRNA from 2 species
UUUUAGCCCUGAUAGAAGCGAAAAUCCUGUUAUUGCGAUAAAGAAAUGGUUUGUUUUAUUAUUUUUUAUUCUUCGCAAUGACAGAUUGUAGUGAUAGCAGGAAAAAUG